GGGGUGGGGACUUUCUCCAUUUGUCCAUAAGCUCUUAACCGGCGGCAAACGCGACACUUUCCACGGCACACCCACGCUGCCCUUAUGAACAUAUACAUUUAUUUAUAAACACCGUCAGAUUCCGUUUGGUCAGUUCACCCACGACUUUUCUGGUAUCUUGGGGGCAUUUUAAAUUCCCAGAAACACAAGGGGCUCGAUUCUUAAGGCUGGAAAACGAAAGUAUGUUGCAGAGCAAGAGAAGGCGUCAGAAAGACAACAACAUUGUGACAUAUGGAGCUGAACUCUAAUGGUUAAGAAGACUCCGUAAUGAUUGGGAAAGUUUGGACACUGAUCAUUGUAUUAUCACUCAUCAAAUUUAUUCAUCAUAUCCAAGCUGAAUGUAUGCAACAAGAUAUUGAGGAACACCUGGUGAGUCUAAUCUUUGUCAUUCUAUUAUUUUCUUGCAGUUAGCUGCCAUUACUCUUUUAGAAAAAUCACUCAG
rnacentral:lncRNA from 1 species